ACAGAACUGGGUCCAGCAGCAUCUCCUCUACUCCCUCCAGCCCCAGGGCAGCAUCUUCCCACCCCACUUCACCUCUCGUCAGCGCGGAGCAGUGUGUGGGGCCACCUGGUGAACUUGUACAGAGGGACCCCAGCUAACCCCGCCGGAGGAAAUAUCCAUACUGCUGCAGCCCUGAGCAGCAGAUCUACAGCAGCCUGAGAUCCCCAUUAUAAUUCCCACCGUAGUAAUCAGGAGAUGGCAAUGAAGCAUUGCACGAGCACUCUGAAGUCCAAGGGCUGGCAUUUGCAAUGUGGUACGGCUUCUGGAGCCCACAGGCCAGAAAAACAAACCAGGUGAAUCUGAUGCUGUGGUGCCAGGAGGACUUCAUGCCAGCAGAAGAGACAUGCCUCCAGAAGAUUUGCAGGAUGCUGAAGGACCCUCUUUGGGCCCCACCUCUGUGUCCUUGUCCCCAAGCUUUACCCUCUUCCUGUCUCUCCAGCAUCAUUUUUUUUGCAGUGUGUGAGAAUGUCACAUUUGCCUUGACUAGAUGUUAACCUUGGGUGGCAUAUUCUGAGCUGAGCUCCCUUGAUCUGAAUUUCUCAGAAGUACAAUAAGUCUCAAGGGUCUGAGGCAGAUGAGCAGAGCACGAGUGCAUGGCAGAGAGAGAAGAAAAGGAAAGGCAACACGAUAUGUAUACACAUCCACACUGUAAGAUGCCAUUUCUGCCCUCUGCAAAGCCUCUCUGUGCACCAAGUCACCCCUGGUGAAAGCCUGGCAGUGGAGACAUCUGGACAGGCAGGAAAUAAGAAUAUAAAGUGAGGGUUUGUGUUUUGCUGCCUGCCGUAUGGCAGGGGGCCGUCACUUGUCCUGGCCGGCUUUUCUCUGCUCCCAGGUGUCCAGCCACAGCCAUUAUGUGAGUCUCCAUGGGAUGUGCUGGGGAGAUCGCUGUGACAGUGACCUGCAGGAGAGGAAGUUUCCAACCACGGGGAGGGAUUCACGCCAGCUCGACAGCAAAAAGUUGCUGCUGCCUUUUCCUCUGCCCGUCCCCAGCCCGCAUCCCCACGUCAUGCCCGGGGCCUGACCAGCCUGUCUUGCAAAAUAAAGCCACGACAAGACCCAGCUCUCACAGAAAGAAGGGGCAAUUCUCCCAGAGCAUUUGUUUCACAUCAGGGAAAUAAAAAACAGCCACUUCUGAAGCGACUAUCAAUGACGGCAGAACUGAGACCAAGCGAAAGAAAGGUAAUCGUCAGCGAGUGGCAGAGAACGCUGGAGCAGUUCCCUUCAGCCUCUCUUGUUCUCUCCCAGCUGAGGUUUCUUCUAUCAGAAAAUCUCUCCAGACAUGGUGAUUUCUUUCAGACUCCAGUGUAGCUACAGCAUGGACAGCAAGGCCAAAGCCCUCUUUUGGGCCCAUACCAGCACGUACCUGCCAGCAGAACCACGUGGGACAGAAGGGGAGACCUUCUCCUUGUUACCCCCCACGUGAAUCCCUGCCUGUCUCGCCAGAUGUUCACAGCUCUCAGCACCACAGAGCCCUCAGAAGAGGUGGAAGAGCCCUCUCUCUCCUAGCCCCCAUGCCAGGCACACAUCCUGCCUGCCCAUGCACCACACCACUGUCCGUCUGUCCAGGGCAGGUCCCCACCAUAAGCAGUGCUGUCAUGUAGGGAAGGAUUUGAAAUGGCGCCAUCCUGGCAAGGUGAUCCAGACCAGGGGUUCUCACACAGAAGAAAUGUGUUUCACCCUGAUUAGCCUUGGAAACUCAAACUUCUGCAUCUAGGAUUUGGGGUUGAACAAAUACUGUGGAUUCCACAUCCUUUUUCCUGGCUGGCUAUGUUAUAUAUGAAUAUAGGUUUUUGUAGCAUGGCAAAAAGCCCUGCAGGAAAAGAAAGAAAAAACACAUCAAAAAAAGAAAGUGAUUUUUUUGCACUUUCUCAGCAACAUGUUGAGAAAACCCUUCCCAACUCCAGGCAGCAGGAAGAAAAGAUAAAUUGUUUGUAGAGGACAAUUCAAGGCUGGAGUACAGAACCAGUGUGUGAUUUAAUUCAGUUUGUCAUUGUCUGUCUCUCUCCGUCUGCUCUUCUCCCCGGGAUGCUGCUUAACUUCUUUGGGGGAUGCAUGAGGGAGAUUUAUCCCACGGGUUGCUUCAGCUCAGGCCUCUCCAUUCACGUCUUCGGUUCAAAAGCACCGAACUUUUGCAGGGUGCUGGCCUGCAGCUUCCAUUGAUUUCAGAACACAAGUCAGUGACUGCAAACUCUGACAGUUUUUCAGAGGGCAAAAGGUUCAUGGAUGAAGAGCUGGGACAUAAACCCUUCCUCCUAGGAGCUUUAAAAGGCCAGGAUGGGAUUAAAAUUGAGUGAGAUCAGCUGAUCCAGAGGCACCCAUAUAUCAGAAUUUCCUGAGAGCAAGUGCUGGUAGUGAGAGUCAUAUCUCUUUUCCCCAUCUUCCCAGAGAGAAUAGCGAAUGUGGCAGUGCAGUUUACCUACCAUUUUUUGGCGCUCAUUGUUCCCAAUAGCUGAUAAAGAAGAGAGAUGCUUCAUCAGCCCUGUGGGGUAAAUCUCUGCAUCGCCAUUUCAUUGGUACCACGUCCAGCUGAUUGAUGCUGCAUGGGCCUGCAGCUCAUUCAUGGUGCCAAGCAAAAACUGCUCUAUAAAACCAAACUGGACUAAACGUUUCAGGGGAAAAUGUUUCACUAGAGGCUUCUAAUCAGUCCCAAAUCACAAGCAGCUGAAAUACAACACACAGCACAGGAACAAUUCUGUGUUUAUCCAGAAGAGUGAAUCAAAGGUGCAUCGGCUCUAUCUGGGCUAAGAAGGUCAGCAUGCUCCCAGCUCCUGGCCUGCGUUAGGGAUGCAUGCCACACUUCUUUUCACUGUGCCACUGUGACUAGAAACUGAGGCACCUUUUUGGCCAUGUGGAGUCAGAUCUCAAGUUUCUACCAGCCUGCAGUAGAAAGCCAAUCACUUCCUUGAGUGUUCAGCACCUCCUGAAUUUGCACUUCGCCUACAUGGGUUGAUUUAGUACACAAGCUUUCUGAAAAAUGCUCUAGAUGCCAGCUCCACAGACUUAACCAAACCAGUUAAAGGUGAGCUCUUGUAUUCUCCACCCCUCCACACACUUGUGUCAGAGGCAGAUUGAUGUGUCAAGCCCCUCAGAGAAGAAUUGCUUUGUAGAUGGAGAGGUGGAUUUGUCCAGAUAUCAAGCUUUGUUGCAGAAGAGCAUUAGGAGCAGGAGAUAGUCCAACAGUUUUAUGGAAUUUCAGGACCAGGAUAGUACUGUGAACAAGACCCUUUUUUUUUUUGGUGGGGGGAGGGAGGAGAGAAGAAGAUUUGACCAUAAUGCAAUGGUAUUUUUCCCCUAGGGUUAGAGAACAGGUCAUUUCUCUCCUUUUUGUUUUUUGUUUUGUUUUGUAAAAACGUAGCCCUGUGAGUCCAGCUGGUUUCACUAGACUCUGGACAACGUCCUCCUUCACAUAUAUUUGCCCAAUUGGAAGAACUGUCUGGCCUCAGCCAUCUCCUGGUCACCAUCCCUGUGAAGAAAGUUACCAGGUGCUGAGAUCAGCCAGCUGAGCAGCCCAUGCUGUCAAUCCUUAAUCCACUUUGGUUACAAUAAACUGGGUCAGCAAAGACUUGCUACUGAAACCAAUUAAAGUGGUUGACUGCAAUUGAAUCAGGUUACAGAGUUCCCUUGAGCAGCUCAGAUGGCAAAUCUGAGGGGACAGUAGCCUCCAGCCACUCUGAUGAGCAGCUGGAGAUGGUGUUGGAGCCAUUAUGUUUUCCAGAAGCCUUUAUUUAGAGUGAAGCUGUCAAUCUACAUCCUUAAUUGGUAGUAACAAAUCUCAUCACAGGUUGGUGUUUCAAAAAGCCACCUUCUGUGUCAGGAAAAGCUGUCAUGGGGGAGGCUUGGAAGCACUGGAGAAUAGAUAACAUGUAAAGAUCCCUUUUGAUGGGCUCAGGGUUAACCACCAUUACUAUCAAUUAUUCAUGGUUUCCGUGCGGAUUUAAGGCAAAGAAGGUAUUAAAAAUUUACAUUUUUUCUUCCUUCUCACGCCUCCUAGGCAUUAUCACCUCUUAAAUAUGGUUGCUGUAUGUGAGUAUUUGCUGUUAAUUAGCUGUAAUGAUAAUUACAAGGAAAGCACAUAUGCCUUAACUUUGGAGAUGCAAUGCAUUUCAUGUUAAACCAGACUAACAGAAAAUUCUUCACCCUCUCUUUUAUUCCAGAAUCCUCAAUUGCACUUUUAUUUAGUAUUUAUUAUAACUGAAGAUCUAGCUCUAGAUAUUGGUCUGCCUUACAGCUCUGAAGGCCUCGAUGAUUAUGUGAUUUAUGCCUUUUUAAGACUGUUAAUUAUUUUGUGGAUACUCUGCUCUCUCAAAAAAGUUUUAUCAUUUGUUAAUAAAAAUGAUAU